rnacentral:lncRNA from 1 species
UCUUAAUUAAAUAAAUUCAUUUAUCAUAAACAAAAUCUUUUGCCAUCUAUUUACUGUAGUGAGAUUUACAAAACAACUUAUAGAGAUAAUAACAUAACUCAAAUAAUGAUUUCAUAUGCAAUCGAUUUGAAUAACAAUUCUAUCCUUUAUCAACCUAUUAGUAUCCAUGGGGGUUUAUAAGGAUGUUCCUACAACACGUGAACCAUUUCCUUUAACAUUUCAAAUUAACGGGCCGUCUCCAUACCCAGUCCGAUAUGAGCGCCAAACCACUAAACCUCAAUACUCUGUCCAGUGUGAUGGUGAAAUGGGUCGUCCCCAUACCCUAUCUGGUAUGAGUGUCAAAUUACCAAACUUCGAUACCCCAUCCGGUAUGAAGCAACAUUCACGGUAGGAUUUUCUAUACGCCCAGUUCGUCUACCAUCUCUCAGGAUAUCCAGUAAGGUUGUCGCUUCAUCCAUUCACUUAAUCACACAAUUUUCCAUUUUUCUUUAAUCUCUCUUUUUUCCAAUUCAACCGUAAACCCAUAAAAUAAACAAUACAUGCAUUCAAAGCUGUAAAAUCGAUCAAUCAGAUACUAUCAUGCAUUCAAACCGUAAAAAUAAUUAACAGAAACAAUAAUAUAUAAUUUUCGAACACAUAAUUAAUUAUGAAUAUUUUUUAAAUUGUAUAAAAUACCGUAUUAUUAAUAAUUUAACUUCAAUUCCAUAACAGAGAAUAGAGUAAGAGAUUCUUACUCAAUUCGAUGCCUAAAAAAUGAAACUUAUUGACUGUGCCCGUUGCGGUCCCCGGAUUCCCUGAAUUUUUCUUCGGAAAUUAAAACACGCUACAAGUAUCUACAAAUAUCCCAAAAAAUCCAAAAACAGUAUCAGGACCUCUUUUUGGCUAAUUUUGAAAUUCCAGCACAGUGGCUCCACCGUGCUUCGGCGACGACGCCGCUGCCCGCGAUGGUGAUCCACCUCAGGUUGCCUAUUUUUGGCCAAUUUUGCAUCAAUCCUUCCGAGAAAACACAUUAAGGGACCUCAGUUGGCCGAAAAAAUUGAAAAACUGAAACUCACCAGCAGCAGGGCUCUUCGGUGAGGCGGCUCCGCUAGCUCGCUUUUGCGGUUGAGUGUUUUACUUUGGUCAACCUGUAGAGAAGGAAACGGUGAAAAAAUUUUGCAUAACGGAAAUCGGAAAGGGCCUUAUCGGAUGUGGUUUUUUAAAUUUUUUGCAGCGGCACUGCCGGGCUUUGCCCGUAGUUUUUGGCCAAUUGGUUGAUCAUUUUACUCCGAUAUGGCCACGGGGGUGUUUAAAAUUGAAUUAUGAGCAAAAAGAAAUUUUGUUACUUCUUUUGGCGAUCGGAAGUGGCUCCGGCGCGGCGGUGGAUGGUGGUGGUUCUCCUUUCCAGCGGUUGGGUCUUUUUCUCCGAUGAGGGUGUCUGACGGCUAGGCUUAGGAUUUGGUGUGAAGAGGAUUAUUUAUAUUCGUCCCCUUUUAAUAUGGGCCGUCCAUCGCGAUUGAUCUGAAACGUCUGAUCACAAUUAAAUAGGGAGUGAAUCUAGACCGUUCAUCGCUAUCUGAUAUGAACCGUCCAAUCGCGUUUAAAUAAGAAGUGGAUCUGGACCGUUGAUCGCAUUUAAAUCUGACCGUCCAAGCGCGUUUAGGGAGAGAACACAUCCAGGUCGUCUGUGCACGCGGGAGCGAAUAUGGACGGUUCGAUCGCGGGCACGCGGAUCGCCCGCGUGGCCUCCCGUGUGGCACCGUGUCAGUGUUCGUUGCCACGUGGCGCGUUCUAGUUCGUAAGAGCUACUAACCGGGCAUCUUAUGUGGUAUAACUUUUUUAAAUUACAUUUUGACCCAUAGUUUUCGAUUUUUCUUUCAAAAAUACCCUCAAAAUCCAAAAUUUUACU